rnacentral:tRNA from 1 species
AGUUGAUGAGAUCUGGUGGUCUUCGCGGUCUUCAAAACCGUUGUCAGCCUAUCGGCUGGGGUAGGUUCGAUUCCUGCCUCUU